CAUACUUUUUUAUCACUCUCCAGUGUUUAACAUGAUUCCCUCUUUGUUAUGCUAAUGAUUUCCUUUUCUGGGUGUGAUUGUUUACUUUAUCUAAUGUAAGGGGCGCUGGAAAUGUUUAUAAUUGGUUAAGGUAGAUGUUCAUUCAAAUCAAAGAUGUUUUAUCGGUUUCUCAUUUCAUCACUUCCUCUGAAAUUUUAUGUCCAUCAUCUCCUGUUAUUUCUGUAGCCAUGAAAUGUAUUGAGGUCCAUAGAAGUUUUAGAUUAAUUUUUUUAUGAAUUCCUUGCACCUGAGAAUGGUGCUUGGCAAACCUGAAAACAAUUUGACUGAAAUUAAAAGGGAAAAAAAUCACAUUCUAGUUGCCAUAUGGAAAAAGAAUAUGGUUUCACACACUUUGCUUCAGCUAGGAUGAUGUGGUGCUCAAACCAAUGAAUCAUCUGUUAUCUUCUCAGUAAUGUCCCUGUUUCAGCUGCUCACAUUAUCAUUGGCCUUUGGAUGUGUUGACCUUACAAGUGUAACUGGUUAAUUUCUACAAAUCUUUUCUGUCAACUAUUUUCUCAUCCCCUACUCAAUAUUCUCACGUGUUUUGAUUCCCAAUUCUUUUUUUUUUUUGGUUUUUACUGUUUACACAUCACCAAAUUUCUAUUCGCUCUGCUUUAAAAAUUCCUCAUAUUGAGCUAGAUAACUGUUCAACUUUCUGUGCUUUAAGACAGCUGAUCUGACAUGUUUAAACUGUUUAGACAAGCAUGUUUCAGCGAUUUGUUUUCUGGGAACACCUUUCACUAAUUUGCAAAA